rnacentral:rRNA from 1 species
CCAUCAUUCAGUUGGGCACUCUAGCGAGACUGCCGGUAAUAAACCGGAGGAAGGUGGGGAUGACGUCAAAUCAUCAUGCCCCUUAUGACCUGGGCUACACACGUGCUACAAUGGUUGGUACAACGAGUUGCGAGUCGGUGACGGCGAGCUAAUCUCUUAAAGCCAAUCUCAGUUCGGAUUGUAGGCUGCAACUCGCCUACAUGAAGUCGGAAUCGCUAGUAAUCGCGGAUCAGCACGCCGCGGUGAAUACGUUCCCGGGCCUU